rnacentral:rRNA from 1 species
CCUACGGGAGGCAGCAGUGGGGAAUCUUGCACAAUGGGGGAAACCCUGAUGCAGCGACGCCGCGUGAGUGAGGAAGUAUUUCGGUAUGUAAAGCUCUAUCAGCAGGGGAGAACAUGACGGUACCUGACUAAGAAGCCCCGGCUAACUACGUGCCAGCAGCCGCGGUAAUACGUAGGGGUCAAGCGUUAUCCGGAUUUACUGGGGUUAAAGGGUGCGUAGGCGGACGCUUAAGUCAGCGGUAACAUUGCGGGGCUCAACCUCGUCGAGCAGUUGAACCUGGGUGCCUUGAGUGGACAAGAAGCACGCGGAAUGCGUGGUGUAGCGGUGAAAGGCAUAGAGAUCACGCAGAACUCCGAUUGCGAAGGCAGCGUUCCGGCGCCCAACUGACGCUGAAGCACGAAGGCGUGGGUAUCGAACAGGAUUAGAUACCCCAGUAGUC